UCUGCAACUCGACUCCAUGAAGCUGGAUUCGCUAGUAAUCGCGCAUCAGCCAUGGCGCGGUGAAUACGUUCCCGGGCCUUGUACACACCGCCCGUCAAGCCAUGGGAGCCGGGGGCGCCUGAAGUCCGGGACCGCGAGGACCGGCCUAGGGCGAAACUGGUAACUGGGGCUAAGUCGUAACAAGGUACC
rnacentral:rRNA from 1 species